CUCCAAUCUGGCCUCCACCGUUCCACAAUAAGCCUCCCUUUUAUCCACCUCCUCAUCAUGAGAAGCCACCACCAGAACACGAGCCACCUCCUUAUGAGAAACCACCACCAGAACACGAGCCACCACCUUAUGAGGAACCACCUCACGAGAAGCCACCACCGGAACACGAGCCACCUUAUGAGAAGCCACCACCGGAACACAAGCCACCUUAUGAGAAGCCACCACCGGAACACGAGCCACCUUAUGAGAAGCCACCACCAGAACACGAGCCGCCUUAUGAGAAGCCACCACCAGAACACGAGCCACCUUAUUAUGAGCCACCUUAUGAAAAACCACCGCAUGAGAAGCCACCACAUCAUGAGAAGCCACCACAUCAUGAAAAACCACCUCACCAUGAGAAGCCACCCCACCAUGAGAAACCACCAUACGAGAAGCCACCCCACGAAAAGCCUCCACCGGAAUACCAGCCAUCACCACCUUAUGUGAAACCACCA
rnacentral:lncRNA from 1 species